UCCUGGAGUAAAACCAGAUACUGUGCUAAGUCUCCUUACUCUGUCAAGCCAUGCCUAAUUAAACAGCAAAGAGGAGUUAUCUGUUCUGCUGCUUUUAAUAUAAAUGGGUGUCAGAGCUUUCUAGGUGGUCACAGCCUUACCCUGAGGAGGAUGUGUUGUAAUUGAAUAACAGUUCUUCAGCACAGCAUCGUGUCUGGGAAACAGAUUCAUCCUUGUUUUGGCUGUGAUCCCUGCCCAUGCUCUGGGAGCUCAGCAGAGGAGAGUCCAACACACACCAGCACAUUCAGGAGAUAGUGGAAAGCCAAGGAAGCCCUCCUGAGACCUGGUGUGGAGUGUCUAACAGGGUGAACCUGGAAUCACCCUCUAUUAACUCAAGGUGGAGUUUCCUUGCCAUAGGGAUUUUUCCAGGGGACAGAAAGGCACAGAACAAAUGCAGUGUCACCUGAGGUUAAACUGUUCUAGACCUGCCUUCAGAGUCCUUCCCUCAUUGCUGGCAGGGAUGGGCUGCAUGAGAUCAUGGAAUACUUUGGGACCAGAGAGGGAUGGACUCAUUUUACCUGCUCCUUGCUUUCCUAAGAGAUUUGUUGAGUAAUAGUUCCUAGUUUUCAUGAUUUAACUAUCAGUCAGAACAUUAGGCCACUUAUUUCUCUAAUUCCAUUCUGACCAUACUCUUGUAAAACCUCACACUCUGCAUUACAAAUAUUAAACAAACAGACUUUUGUGACACUUCCAUGUGAUGCCAUUGU